AGAGUUUGAUUAUGGCUCAGGACGAACGCUGGCGGCGUGCCUAACACAUGCAAGUCGUGCGGUCUCGCCUUAAGCGAAAGGCCUUCGGGCUUUGAAGCAAAGGCGAGAUAGCGGCGGACGGGUGAGUAACGCGUGGCUUAUCUGUCCCAGGGAGGGGGAUAACGUCUGGAAACGGGCGCUAAUACCCCAUAUGCCGAAAGGUGAAAAGGAGAGAUCCGCCCUGGGAUGAGGCCGCGUCCUAUCAGCUUGUUGGUGAGGUAACGGCCCACCAAGGCUAUGACGGGUAGCCGGCCUGAGAGGGCGGCUGGCCACACUGGGAUUGAGAUACGGCCCAGACUCCUACGGGAGGCAGCAGUGGGGAAUAUUGGGCAAUGGGGGAAACCCUGACCCAGCGACGCCGCGUGGAGGAAGGAGCCCUUCGGGGUGUAAACUCCUGUUGUAAGGGAAGAAGAUCUGACGGUACCUUACGAGGAAGCCCCGGCAAACUACGUGCCAGCAGCCGCGGUAACACGUAGGGGGCGAGCGUUGUCCGGAAUUACUGGGCGUAAAGCGCACGCAGGCGGAUGCGCGCGUCGGCUGUGAAAUGCACCGGCUCAACCGGUGCACUGCGGUCGAUACGGCGCAUCUGGAGUGCGGGAGAGGGAAGCGGAAUUCCCGGUGUAGCGGUGAAAUGCGUAGAUAUCGGGAGGAACGCCGGUGGCGAAAGCGGCUUCCUGGCCCGCAACUGACGCUCAUGUGCGAAAGCCAGGGGAGCGAACCGGAUUAGAUACCCUGGUAGUC
rnacentral:rRNA from 1 species